AGGUGUCCCAGGGACUCUUCGCACAAAACUCCUUCUUUCACUAAGCCACCAAGCAGCUACCUCCUGAAGAAUCAGUCCAAGGCUAGGAUACAUGCCAAUUUUUUCAUUGUGGAACCCUGGUUUUAGAUGACUCUAAGCCAAGGCCGCAAAUAAAAGGCAUUUGAAAGCAAGGCUGGAAAGGAGAGGUGGCUGCCAGGAAGGGCACUAACCGCCGGAGCAGGUGAGAGAGCCAUCUUGUAUCCCGAGUCCCUCAGAGACCAGUCUGCGUAGGAGAGCCUGCAGACUGCAGAAGCAACAUAGCUUCUGGGACAGGCCCUGUUCUGGGGCCUUAUCUUCAGCCAGGAAGUAGAUCUGAGUUCCAGACAUCCGCACUCCUUCCCCACCAGAGGAGAGGUGGCCUGCAGAGAGUACUCUAACCACUGAGACUCAGGAGAGAGCUGGACUCCCAGGACUGCUGACAGAGGCUAACAGAAUCACAGGAGGAACAGGCUCCAGCCAGAGACAGCUAUAACAGCUAGCGCCAGAGACUACCAGAUGGCGAAAGGCAAACGUAACAAUCUUACUAAUAGAAACCAAGACCGCUUACCAUCAUCAGAACUCAACACUCCCACCUCAGCCAGUCCUGGAUACCCCAACACACCAGAAAAGCAAGAUUCGGAUUUACAAUCGUAUCUCAUGAUGCUGGUAGAGGAUUUUAAGAAGGAACUUAGUAACUCACUUAAAAAAAUACAGGAGAAUAUGGCUAAACAGGUAGAAGGCCUUAAAGAGAAAGCACAAAGAUCCCUUAAAGAAUUACAGGAAAGCAAGGCCGUCUGCUGUGCUGCUGGAUCUCCUUUCCCCAAGUAUCUAGCUUAGUACCUUCCCUCCCUUCUUCAGAGGACAGAGUUCUGGUUGUCAAGGUAAAGGGUGGAGAAGAAACCCGGGUUUCUAAUUGCCAGUCCUGUGAUGCUCAUCCCACCCAAGGGAGCCAUUUUCCCCUUGGUGUUAUGUUAGCUGAGGAAACCUGUAUGGCUCUGGAAGUUUUCCAGUUACAUGGAGGCACACAUGAUUUCCUGCAAGACACUAUGGGGUACUAGCAAGAGUAACUUCCUGUGAGUCAUGAGGCAUGACCAUUGUGUGGCUAAACGUAUGUCAUCUUGACAUGAACUGUAGUCAUCUGAAAGGAGGAAAUCUCUGGUAAGAAAAUGCCUCCCUUAGAUCAGGCUGUAAACAAGCUUUGCAGCCUUUUCUUAAUUAGUGGUCAAUUCCAGAGUGGGGGAUCCAGCCCACUGUGGGUGGUACCAUCCCCUGGCCAGGAGUGAGCAAGCUGUGGAGAGCAAGGCAGUAAGCAACACUCUUCCAUGGCUCCUACAUCAGCUUCUGCCUCCAGGCCUAUCCUGCUAGAGUUCCUGCCCUCACUGCUUUUGAUGAUGAACUGUUAUGUAGAACUGUGAGUGAAAUAAACCCCUUU
rnacentral:lncRNA from 1 species